CCUACGGUGUGCAGCAGUGAUGAAUAUUGGUCAAUGGGCGCGAGCCUGAACCAGCCAAGUAGCGUGAAGGAUGACUGCCCUACGGGUUGUAAACUUCUUUUAUAAAGGAAUCAAGUGAGGCACGUGUGCCUUUUUGUAUGUACUUUAUUAAUAAGGAUCGGCUAACUCCGUGCCAGCAGCCGCGGUAAUACGGAGGAUCCGCGCGUUAUCCGGGUUUAUUGUGUUUAAAGGGAGCGUAGAUGGGUUGUUAAGUCAGUUGUGAAAGUUUGCGGCUCAACCGUAAAAUUGCAAUUGAUACUGGCAGCCUUGAGUACAGUUGAGGUAGGCGGAAUUCGUGGUGUAGCGGUGAAAUGCUUAGAUAUCACGAAGAACUCCGAUUGCGAAGGCAGCCUACUAAACUGCCACUGACAUUGAUGCUCGAAAGUGUGGGUAUCAAACAGGAUUAGAUACCCUGGUAGUC
rnacentral:rRNA from 1 species